rnacentral:lncRNA from 7 species
AAGGCUCCUGGCCCCCGCCCUGCGCCCGCACUCUGAGCUCAGCACCAGCACCAUGCGCCCGCUGCUGCUCCUGCUGCUGGCCACAGCCCACGGCCUGGACAAGUUGUCCUACAAACCCACCCUGGUUGGUGGCAACGUGGAGGGCCGUAUGACGGGCAGCACCUUCGUGCUGGAGCAGCCCCGCUGCGUCUUCGAUAGUUACAGCACAGCCAACAUCUGGCUGGUGGUGGCCACCCGUGCAGGCAUGAAUGCUUUCAAUGACAGCGCACAGCCGGGGAUGCCCGAGUGGAGCUUCCAGCGCUUCCCUACCAACACGUCAGCCUACCUGACGCUGGGUGCCAUGCAGUACCACUACGGCUGCCCUAAACCCGAUAGGGAGCUCACUGUGCUGCGCGUGGGCAGCGAGACCGGCUGUGCUGACAACAUCUCUGUACCCAACUGCAAUGGGCCCCUGCCCGGCCCCGGGCCCUACUGGGUGAAGUUCCUCGCACUGAAUGGCUCUGAGCCCACAGCCACCACAGAAUGGUCGGGGCCCAUCACACUGAAGACAGCCCGGGAGCCCCAGAGCAUCCCCGGGAUGGGCGGUGCCCGCAGCGGUGCCAUGAUCGCCAUCACUGCCAUCCUGUCGGUGCUGUUGGCCAUCCUGCUGGCCGCCCUCCUGGCCACGCUGUGCAGCUCUGAGGCGUGCGGUGUGGGCAGCUUCAGGCCGGACGCGGCGUCCAUCCGACGCUACAACACCCACCACGUGUACGACCAGCCGGCCGCGCGGCUCUGAGGGGGGACACCGUGCCACCGUGUCAUCCAUCGUGUCAUCGUGUCAUCGUGUCAUCAUCACGUCACUGCCCCCAGCGAUGGGCCAGGACAUAAACAGAUUCAUGCG